CACGUAGGGUGCAAGCGUUAAUCGGAAUUACUGGGCGUAAAGCGUGCGCAGGCGGUUAUGUAAGACAGAUGUGAAAUGCCCGGGCUUAACCUGGGAACUGCAUUUGUGACUGCAUGGCUAGAGUUUGGCAGAGGGGGGUAGAAUUCCACGUGUAGCAGUGAAAUGCGUAGAUAUGUGGAGGAACACCGAUGGCGAAGGCAGCCCCCUGGGUCAAGACUGACGCUCAUGCACGAAAGCGUGGGGAGCAAACAGG
rnacentral:rRNA from 1 species